rnacentral:rRNA from 1 species
GAGCACUGUUUCGGCAAGGGGGUCAUCCCGACUUACCAACCCGAUGCAAACUGCGAAUACCGGAGAAUGUUAUCACGGGAGACACACGGCGGGUGCUAACGUCCGUCGUGAAGAGGGAAACAACCCAGACCGCCAGCUAAGGUCCCAAAGUCAUGGUUAAGUGGGAAACGAUGUGGGAAGGCCCAGACAGCCAGGAUGUUGGCUUAGAAGCAGCCAUCAUUUAAAGAAAGCGUAAUAGCUCACUGGUCGAGUCGGCCUGCGCGGAAGAUGUAACGGGGCUAAACCAUGCACCGAAGCUGCGGCAGCGACGCUGAUGCGUUGUUGGGUAGGGGAGCGUUCUGUAAGCCUGUGAAGGUGUGCUGUGAGGCAUGCUGGAGGUAUCAGAAGUGCGAAUGCUGACAUAAGUAACGAUAAAGCGGGUGAAAAGCCCGCUCGCCGGAAGACCAAGGGUUCCUGUCCAACGUUAAUCGGGGCAGGGUGAGUCGACCCCUAAGGCGAGGCCGAAAGGCGUAGUCGAUGGGAAACAGGUUAAUAUUCCUGUACUUGGUGUUACUGCGAAGGGGGGACGGAGAAGGCUAUGUUGGCCGGGCGACGGUUGUCCCGGUUUAAGCGUGUAGGCUGGUUUUCCAGGCAAAUCCGGAAAACUAAGGCUGAGGCGUGAUGACGAGGCACUACGGUGCUGAAGCAACAAAUGCCCUGCUUCCAGGAAAAGCCUCUAAGCAUCAGGUAACAUCAAAUCGUACCCCAAACCGACACAGGUGGUCAGGUAGAGAAUACCAAGGCGCUUGAGAGAACUCGGGUGAAGGAACUAGGCAAAAUGGUGCCGUAACUUCGGGAGAAGGCACGCUGAUAUGUAGGUGAAGUCCCUCGCGGAUGGAGCUGAAAUCAGUCGAAGAUACCAGCUGGCUGCAACUGUUUAUUAAAAACACAGCACUGUGCAAACACGAAAGUGGACGUAUACGGUGUGACGCCUGCCCGGUGCCGGAAGGUUAAUUGAUGGGGUCAGCGCAAGCGAAGCUCUUGAUCGAAGCCCCGGUAAACGGCGGCCGUAACUAUAACGGUCCUAAGGUAGCGAAAUUCCUUGUCGGGUAAGUUCCGACCUGCACGAAUGGCGUAAUGAUGGCCAGGCUGUCUCCACCCGAGACUCAGUGAAAUUGAACUCGCUGUGAAGAUGCAGUGUACCCGCGGCAAGACGGAAAGACCCCGUGAACCUUUACUAUAGCUUGACACUGAACAUUGAGCCUUGAUGUGUAGGAUAGGUGGGAGGCUUUGAAGUGUGGACGCCAGUCUGCAUGGAGCCGACCUUGAAAUACCACCCUUUAAUGUUUGAUGUUCUAACGUUGACCCGUAAUCCGGGUUGCGGACAGUGUCUGGUGGGUAGUUUGACUGGGGCGGUCUCCUCCUAAAGAGUAACGGAGGAGCACGAAGGUUGGCUAAUCCUGGUCGGACAUCAGGAGGUUAGUGCAAUGGCAUAAGCCAGCUUGACUGCGAGCGUGACGGCGCGAGCAGGUGCGAAAGCAGGUCAUAGUGAUCCGGUGGUUCUGAAUGGAAGGGCCAUCGCUCAACGGAUAAAAGGUACUCCGGGGAUAACAGGCUGAUACCGCCCAAGAGUUCAUAUCGACGGCGGUGUUUGGCACCUCGAUGUCGGCUCAUCACAUCCUGGGGCUGAAGUAGGUCCCAAGGGUAUGGCUGUUCGCCAUUUAAAGUGGUACGCGAGCUGGGUUUAGAACGUCGUGAGACAGUUCGGUCCCUAUCUGCCGUGGGCGCUGGAGAACUGAGGGGGGCUGCUCCUAGUACGAGAGGACCGG